rnacentral:rRNA from 1 species
AUGAAUUCUGAUAUGUCGCAUGUUAUUGAUGAUGCCACUUCUGCUAUGCAUGAUGAAACUACUUCUGUGCGUGAUACUACUUUGCCAUUAGGUGAAUUUCUAGAUGAACAACUUGCUAGAUUUAGGGGGAAUGAAAAUAUUGAAGAACCUAUUAUUGAUGAUAGUGAUGAUGAAGGUCCCCCCAAUGAUUAUGUUUUACCUGUUGUUCCUAAGGGUUAUGUUAUGCAUGAAACAGCUGCUAUGGAAAUUCUUGCUUGCAAUGAUAGAAAUGAUCUUAAGAAAUUAUUAGCUAAAUGGAUGCAGCAGUCUCUUAAUGCUAGAAUGAAACCCGAUCCUGCUUUUGCUACUUCAACUAUCUGUGCUACUGAUAAGGAUUAUGAAUUCUCUGUUGAUCCUGAUAUUAUUACUUUAGUUGAAUCUGAUCCUUUUUAUGGCCUUGAAUCUGAAACUGUUGUGGCACAUCUUACCAAGUUGAAUGAUAUAGCCACCCUGUUUACUAAUGAUGAGAAGUCUCACUAUUUAUAUAUCCUCAAGAUAUUUCCAUUCUCAUUAAAGGGUGACGCUAAGACUUGGUAUAAUUCUCUUGCUCCUGGUUGUGUGCGUAGUCCCCAGGCUAUGAUUUAUAACUUUUCUGCUAAAUAUUUCCCUGCUCAUAAGAAACAAGCUGCCUUGCGGGAAAUAUAUAAUUUUGUGCAGAUCAAAGAAGAGAGUCUCCCACAAGCUUGGGGGAGGCUUCUCCGGUUACUUAAUGCUUUGCCUGAUCAUCUUCUUAAGAAAAAUGAAAUACUUGAUAUCUUUUAUAAUGGACUAACCGAUGCUUCCAAGGACUACUUGAAUAGUUGUGCUGGUUGUGUUUUCAGGGAAAGAACAGUCGACGAAGCUGAAAUACUAUUGAAUAAUAUGUUGACUAAUGAAAAUAAUUGGACUCUUCCCGAGCCAGUUCGUGAAGUAAUUCCUGAACCAAUUGAGCCAACUCCUGAGCCUAUUCCUAAACCCACUCCGAAGAAGAGAGGUGUUUUAUUUCUCAGUCCUGAAGAUAUGCAAGAGGCAAAGAAAUCAAUGAAAGAAAAAGGUAUUAAAGCUGAAGAUGUUAAGAAUUUACCUCCUAUUGAAGAAAUACAUGGUCUUAAUUUACCGCCUGAAGAACCACAUUGUCUUGAUAACCCGACACAGGUAGUAAAGAUAAAUUCUCUCUAUAGAUAUGAUAAAGUUGAAGUACCCCCUACUAAAUUUCAUAGCCCAUGCUUAGAUGAAUUUGAUGACUUUAUGGCUAGACAAGAAAGUUUUAAUGCUUAUGUUGGUAGAGAGUUAAAGAAUAAUGCUUUCGAGAUAGGACGCGUAGGUGAUAAUCUUGCUAGAGUUAAAGAUGAACUUCACCGCAUUAGCAAAUAUGCUUCUAUGGUUGCUACUCAAGCUGAGCAAGUACUUAAAGCUCAAAAUGAUUUGCUUGAGGAAUUAAAUAAUAAAAAUGACUUUGCUGUUAGAGUGGCUACUAGAACUGGUAGAAUGACUCAGGAACCUUUGUAUCCUGAAGGCCACCCUAAGAGAAUUGAGCAAGAUUCUCAGAGAAAUAAUUUAGAGGCACCUAGUUCUUCUAAAAAGAAGAAGAAGAAAAACGAUAGAACUUUGCAUGCUUCUAGUGAACCUACUGUAGACACAGCUGAGAAUCCCAAUGAUAUUUCUAUUUAUGAUGCUGAAACUCAAUCAGGUGAUGAACAUGAACCUAGUGAUAAUGUUAAUGAUAAUGUUCAUGUUGAUGCUCAACCUAGCAAAGACAAUGAUAUAGAGAUUGAACCUGCUGUUGAUCUUGAUAACCCACAAUCAAAGAAUCAACGAUAUGAUAAGAAAGAUUUUGUUGCUAGGAAGCACGGUAAAGAAAGAGAACCAUGGGUUCAGAAACCCAUGCCCUUUCCUCCUAAACCAUCCAAGUCAAAGGAUGAUGAGGAUUUUGAGCGCUUUGCUGAAAUGAUUAGACCUAUUUUCUUACGUAUGCGCUUAACUGAUAUGCUUAAAGUAAAUCCUUAUGCUAAAUAUAUGAAGGAUAUCAUCACAAAUAAACGAAAGAUACCGGAAGCUGAAAUUUCCACCAUGCUUGCUAAUUACACUUUUAAGGGUGGAAUACUAAAGAAACUUGGAGAUCCGGGUGUACCAACUAUACCAUGCUCUAUUAAAAGAAAUUAUGUUAAAACUGCUUUAUGUGAUCUUGGAGCCGGUGUUAGUGUUAUGCCUCUCUCUUUAUAUUGUAGACUUGAAUUGAAUAAGUUGACACCUACUGAAAUAUCUUUGCAAAUGGCUGAUAAAUCAACUACUAUACCUGUCGGUAUUUGUGAGGAUGUGCCUGGUGUGGUUGCAAAUUUCACUAUCUUAACGGACUUUGUUAUUUUUGAUAUUCCCGAGGACGAUAGCAUGUCUAUUAUUCUUGGUAGACCUUUUCUUAAUACUGUAGGGGCUGUUAUUGAUUGCAACAAAGGUAAUGUCACUUUUCAUGUUAAUGGUAAUGAGCAUACGGUACACUUUUCGAGGAAACAAUCUCAAGUUCAUAGCAUCAAUUCUAUUGAAAAAGUUCCAACUAUCAUUUUUGGAGGCUUUGAAUUUCCUCUCCCUACUGUCAAGAAAAAGUACGAUAUUCUUAUUGUUGGGGAUUUUCAUAUCCCCGUUGAGGUAACUUAG